GAAGUGGUGGUUCGGUGGUAGAAUUCUUGCCUUCCAUGUGGGAGACCGGGGUUCAAUUCCCAGCCAAUGUA
rnacentral:tRNA from 1 species